rnacentral:rRNA from 1 species
UACAGAGGUCUCAAGCGUUGUUCGGAUUCAUUGGGCGUAAAGGGUGCGUAGGUGGUGCCGUAAGUCAGGUGUGAAAUCUCGGGGCUCAACCCCGAAACUGCACUUGAUACUGCGGUGCUUGAGGACUGGAGAGGAGACUGGAAUUUACGGUGUAGCGGUGAAAUGCGUAGAUAUCGUAAGGAAGACCAGUGGCGAAGGCGGGUCUCUGGACAGUUCCUGACGCUGAGGCACGAAGGUCAGGGGAGCAAACGGG